AAUGUCCCUCUGGUCAUAGAAGACCAUGUCUGUGAUUAUAAAUUAUACCUCUCAGUUUAAUCUGGACUUUAGCCAAGGAAUUUGUUACUCUUGGUACUAGAGUGUGACAGAGAGGCCCAGAGAUGGAUGGUUUUUCUGACCACUGGCUUUAGCAGGUCAGUGAGCGCCUGACCUUUAUUUCUGACAUGAACAGAGCAUGACAGAAUCUUCCAUCUUUAGGCUUUUUCUCUCCUGCUAUGAAACAUUGUCUCGAAUCUAAAUCUGGCUUGGGGCGUUAGUGUGUAAGGGUGAAAUGGUGGGGACAGGCUCCCCCUUGCUUCCGAGUCAAGUCACACCACAAGCAAGCUUUAUGGAGCAGAUUUCGUUUCCUUUGUGCACGCACCGGGCCACGGACAGCACAAAGGGCAGGCCUUCAGGGAGGUAGAGAGGUGCUGGCCCUAUUCUCCAGAAGCCUACAGCCCGCUGAGGCAGGUUGAAAUAACUACUGCUCGGGUGCAUCACAGACUGCUCUGGGCUGUGCCUCACGUCGGGUGCAGGGGAGACUAAGGUGGAUCAGACAUGGUGCCUGCUCCAAGGUGUACUCAGUGAUAGUUGGGGUGAUGAAAAACCCAUUAAUGUUUGUAGUGUUUUUUACCCUGCAAAGUCUUUCCCCUCAGUUGGGUUUCUAGGCAGGUUGAAGGGAGCUACCGUCCAGGGAGCAUCGGUGAGGUGCCAGGGAUGUGAGCGGCAGACACUCUCCUUAAGAUGAGCAGAGGUUGGGAGUGGCUGCUGUUGAUGUAUGGGCACAGGAGACUGGCGUUGCUGUGACUGCGCAGGUAGGGCUGGAGAGAGAAGACCUGACACAGGUGCUAUUUCAGUGAAGCCCAAGCAGCCCUGGGGGGUGGUGAAGAUCCCAUGCAGCUCAGAGAAGGGAAGGCACUUGCCUGGCGCCCUUGCCCGGCGCCCCAGAGCUGGGAGGUGGUGGCACGAACUCCACAUGUGGCUCUCCCAUGAUGCUGACCCAGGAGGGAGCCAUGGGGCUGGCAGGUCUGCACUGGAACCGCCUUCCACUGUGGCCGCUUCUGGCACUCUGGGACUGAACCAGGAGGCGUGGGCUGCCCCCGGGGAGGCAGGAAGCCACUGAAGACUUAAGGAAUUGGAUGCUGCUUGCGCUCAAUGAAGUUGUGUUUGGUAAUCCCUGAGAAUCAAAUGAGGGCUACAGAAGGAAAAGACCCCUUUGAGGCACACUGGCCGCUCUCUUCAGACUUGCGUGGCUCCCUCUCUGGUAGGGAUGUGCCUCCUGGGUUUUGCUGCCUGGUCUUCUCUCUCUCAGGGAGUUGGAGUGGCACCCAGCCCCUGACAGGUGUGCAAAUUCUUAUCUCCGAGAAGGAGCUCUGUUUCUGGGUUUAGGGAAGGGAAAGUAACAAACUCGAGCCUGGCAAGUGGAGUGGGCCCUGGGUUUGGUAAAGAGAGUGCGGGAUGUGGCCUUUCCUCUGGCAGCGAGUCCUGUGCUGAGGCUCCAGUCUCACAGGACAGUGCUAGUCUGUCGGGCUGACCCUGUCCCAGCGCACAGGCAUAGACUCGUUGCCAUCUGACUUGUUCUGCUUAGGGAAACAGAUGAUGUUCAGAAAGUCUUUUUGACUCUAACCUAAAUAAGUCUGUGGCUCCUAGGAGUCAGGGUUUUUUGUUUUAUUUAUUGUUCAUGGACAUGAAUCAAUAGGAGUAAGAGUUUUAGGUAGCUAGGAAGACUGAAAGAAGUUUCUUCUUCACCUGCAAUAUUAGAAAGUUGUUUUACAUUUCCAGCCCCCUUUCCCCUUCUCUGGGCAGCUUGUGCUCUCUACCCUCCUGGAAUUUUGGUUUGGUGGGUCUGUGGUAAGACACCUGUUCCCUCUAAACGUUUGUCACUUUCCAAGCCUCCUUUUAGUACAGACAUCUUCUUACCGACCCCUGAGGCAUGAUUUGGAAGUAGCCAGGCAAGGCCUAGUUCCAGAAAUACUUGUCACCUGAUACUAGGCCAGAAGUGCCACCAUUAGACUAUCCCUCCUCCUAACACUGAUCACCUUUCAUGCUCAGACUGGCGCUGUGCAGUCAGGUGAAGUUUACUCCGAGCACCCCCUUCUUGGGGGUGCCGAGUGCUGCUUUUCCCUUCGCUCACUUAAUAUGGCAGCUUCUUAGCGACGGGACCUGCCCUGGCUAUGUGGGAGGUGCUUACUACCAUUCACUACCUUUCCUGGAGCGAAGGCUCAUUUUCAGAAACUCUGCUAGGGAGCCACAUCAUAGCGGUCCUCAAGGCCCCCACCCAGGGCUCACUCUGCGUCUCCCAGGAAUGACGGCUGGCUCUGGCUCUCUGGUGAGCUGCCUCCAGGUGGACUUCCUUUCCAGCAUACCAGGGCUAGGAAGGCGAGGUGAAUGCUGGGCCAGGGGGAAACCCCUGCUGUUGCUUCCUUGGGCAGAUGUCCUAUAGUUUAGCCUCUAGCAGUGUUUGUCCUGUUUUCCCCAAAGCAUCUUUGAACUCAGGCCUUUCACCCUGGACCGACCUUUCUGGCCUGUUGUACUAGACCUUUGGUUUCUUUAAAUGGCUGGUUGGGCCCUGUCACUUCUUUAGAAGACAGGUCUGCUGAGGUAGCCGUGAUUAGGACAAGUGCGCUUCCAGGAACAGCGAGGCUGAUGGGCUUGGGCUGAGGCUCAGACCAUUAGCCUCAUGCCUGUGCAUCUGGUCUACCUGCUAUGUAGUGUUCCUGGAGGAGCAGGGCCUAUGGGACUUGCUUCUAUCGGGGAAGGAAAUGGGAAGUGCAGCCAGUCUAUACCUGAAGUCCUGUUUGACAACUGGCUUCACUCACACUAAGAAUAAGGUGGCCCUGUUCAGUUUUAGCCCUUCCUGGGCCCCAGGGCUGGGGGUGCAGGCACAGAGAAGCAUAGUUGUGGAUAGAAAACCUUUCCCGGCUGCACGGUUAUGUACAUGGCAUUGGACUCCUGGCUGUAGCUUACUGUGGUCUGGUGAUGGCCAAGUUAGUUUUUAGAAAUCUAUUUAAAAUAUCUAUCAUGUAGCGAUUUACUGGGUUUUUCUGAAUACACAAGUGUAAAUAGUAUAAUUUGCAGUGCAAAGUCCUUGGCAAUAACUUUGUUGUGUAUUAUUAUGUUAAAAAACAUUGGAAACCGUGACCACCCUGGAUUGUCCUUCCUUCUGGGGUAAUGAUUACAUGUAGGACUCUGAACUUUAAACCUUCGGCGUGGUUGAAGCAGCAGCCUGCAUAUGUGGACUGUCACCAGUGCCUCGCCCAGAGAUGCCUGGCCUUCAUCCAAAGGGACCCUGCUGCCCCGGCUUCUGCAGGCAGCACCCACACUGUGGCUUCUUCGUGCCGAGUAUGUUGGACUCUGCCAUAGACUGACCCUCUUGUCUGGCUGCUGCAGUCUGUAAUGCCCUGACAUGUUGCAUUUUCCCCAUUUGGAUGAAUAAAAAUGCUUCUGUC